rnacentral:rRNA from 1 species
AACGAACGCUGGCGGCAUGCCUAACACAUGCAAGUCGAACGAGACCUUCGGGUCUAGUGGCGCACGGGUGCGUAACGCGUGGGAAUCUGCCCCUCGGUUCGGAACAACAGUUAGAAAUGACUGCUAAUACCGGAUAAUGACGAAAGUCCAAAGAUUUAUCGCCGAGGGAUGAGCCCGCGUAGGAUUAGCUUGUUGGUGGGGUAAAUGGCCCACCAAGGCGACGAUCCUUAGCUGGUCUGAGAGGAUGAUCAGCCACACUGGGACUGAGACACGGCCCAGACUCCUACGGGAGGCAGCAGUGGGGAAUAUUGGACAAUGGGCGAAAGCCUGAUCCAGCAAUGCCGCGUGAGUGAUGAAGGCCUUAGGGUGUAAAGCUCUUUACCAGGGAUGAUAAUGACAGUACCUGGAGAAUAAAGCUCCGGCUAACUCCGUGCCAGCAG